GCCCUGGUAGCUCAGCCGGCAGAGCAUCUGACUGUUAAUCAGAGGGUCGCAGGUUCGAGUCAAGCAAAACUGCG
rnacentral:tRNA from 1 species